rnacentral:rRNA from 1 species
AAAACAACUCUCGGCAACGGAUAUCUCGGCUCUCGCAUCGAUGAAGAACGUAGCGAAAUGCGAUACUUGGUGUGAAUUGCAGAAUCCCGUGAACCAUCAAGUCUUUGAACGCAAGUUGCGCCCGGAGCCGUUUGGCCGAGGGCACGUCUGCCUGGGCGUCACGC